rnacentral:lncRNA from 1 species
CUUUCUAACCUGCCUGACAGGGGCCAGUUAAAUGUACAAUCAAUCUCUCUGAUCCUCAGUUUCCUCAUAACAAGAUGGAAAUGCAAAACUUACCAUAUAGGACUGCUGGGAGGAUUAAACAAAUGUGUAAUCAAUUAAUUUGCUAAAUCAAUUAAUUAGAUGUCUUUUUUUUCUUCUACUCCUUUUUGUUUUGUUUAAAGCAGCAGGGUCUCACUCUGUUGCCCAGACUGGAGUGCAGUGGCCAGAUCAUAGCUCACUGCA